AUGAUUGUGGAAAAAGAGAGGGAGCAGAGAAAAGUCUUGGUGAUUCUCCAGAGACUUUUUUUUUUUGAAGAAUCCAUCUCAAUCAAGGGCUGCAAUAUACUUGUAUGCCGAUCUGAUUUGGUGUUUUUCCACCUUCUUCCAAAUGCUUUUGAAUUGGUUUCGCGUCAUGAGCUUGAACUGGAUUGGUACCGCUUUCUGUAUCAAUGCAGGGCUGCCAUGGUUUUCCAUAUUGUAGCAAUUAUCUCAGUCAUGUUAUGUAUGUGUUAA